AGUUAGCAUUGGCUGUUUCUAUGCUAAUUUAUGGUCAUAGUACAGCCAAUGUUCGCUUC
rnacentral:pre_miRNA from 1 species